GUGGGGAAUCUUCCGCAAUGGACGAAAGUCUGACGGAGCAACGCCGCGUGAGUGAUGAAGGUCUUCGGAUUGUAAAGCUCUGUUAAUCGGGACGAAAGAGCCUAGUGUGAAUAAUGCUAGGAAGUGACGGUACCGGAAUAGAAAGCCACGGCUAACUACGUGCCAGCAGCCGCGGUAAUACGUAGGUGGCAAGCGUUGUCCGGAAUUAUUGGGCGUAAAGCGCGCGCAGGCGGAUCUGCCAGUCUGUCUUAAAAGUCCGGGGCUUAACCCCGUGAUGGGUAGGAAACUACAGAUCUAGAGUAUCGGAGAAGAAAAUGAAAUUCCUAGUGUAGCGGUGAAAUGCGUAGAUAUUAGGAAGAACACCAGUGGCGAAGGCGACUUUCUGGACGAUGUCUGACGCUGAGGCGCGAAAGCUAGGGGAGCGAACGGGAUUAGAAACCCGAGUAGUCC
rnacentral:rRNA from 1 species